rnacentral:lncRNA from 1 species
UGUGCUGGACAAACUUGCAAUAAUGUUUUGCCAAUGCUUAGACAUUAGACAAUGAUAAAUCAGAUGCAAGAGGAAAUUGACAAGUACAAGCAAAAUUCAGAGAAUGUUCAAGAAUAAGAAAGUAGUUUCAGAAAUGUUGGAUCAGCAGUUCAGUGCUCUGAAGACAGUUGUCUCGAAGUGGUAUGAUGAAAACAAAUGUCCUCCUCUGUUGAAAGUGUUGUUUAGAGAUAAGGUGAAACAUGGGACACUAGCAGAAAUAACUAACACAAUGGACUGAAUGAUUUGGUUGUACAUGUUGAGAUAAAUUCAAAUGAUCUCACUUUACUGUACGAUACCGUCAAAAUAACUGAGCAUUAUGGUCUCAAAAUAAAGAUUCAAGAAACACUGCCAUCAUUCUCAGAUGUUAAAGAAAGAAACUUUCAACAAAACAUUUCAUACUUCACAGGUAAAAGCUUACUGUAAAUGAAAUUGGGAAACGUAUUGACUCCACUUGACAAUAUAAUACACCACUCAAAAGCAGUAUACCAACAGCUAUGGUCAUUGAUGUUGAAGACAGACUGGAAAUCAGUGAAGGAAAUAUGAAGGAAUUCAUUGAGUCUUUGGAAGACCUUAAUCUUUGCAUGGCGUUGAAGGCACUGACAGAAGGCAUCAAUUUACCAAGCUAUGGAAGAAACUUGUUGAUGAAGGAAAGUUAGUCGGACAUCCUUGGAGAGAUGAGCUUAGCAAAGACGAAACUAGCUGUGAGGUCUUCUUGGAAUUAAUGAAGUAGUUUGGACUGCUCUUUGAGCAGAUUAAGGAUAUUGCAAUUGAUUGCGGAAGAGAUUGGCAAGGACUGGAAUUCAUUUGGCGGCACCGUUGGUCUAAAAUGGAUAGCAUUGAGAUGGACUUUCAGCAACUGUGGACGCAAGUCUGGAAAUGCUGGUCAAGUAGCAAGAAAGUAAACCACCUUGGAGAGAUAGGCUGUUACUAAAGAACUCUGGGAGUACUAUCUUAAACAAAAAGUAAUGAAAGAACAUUUGUAGGUACACAUUGGUACCAGAAUUUUGAAAGACAAUUACACAGUGAUUAGGCCUGGGGCUAGUUUCCCACACUCCCUUCAGUGAGAGCAUGACCCCACCACUGUGAUUAUGACUCUCAAUGUGAUAUCUUUUAAGAAUUAAGAAGAUUAAUUGAAAUGUUUGAGGGCGUUGUUUAGUAUACCUAGAUCGAAUGUACAUUUAGUCGGAUAAAGAUUGUGGACAAUGCUACAUAUUUUAAAUUUAAUUUAUAUUUAAAACAAUACGGAAUUCCAAAUCAUUCCGGUAGGAUGCAGUAUUUUUUCACUACAUAACAAUUUUUAUUCAAAAACUAAAGCUCAACUGAAUACAAUUCACUGUACAGUUUCAAAUUCCACAAUGAAUAAUGAAAAAGAAGCAUUUAAAAAGGCUACACAAUAGUAGGCAUGGCCCGUAUCCACGGGCUGGGAUGGUUGCAUACGCAGCUCCUUAUUAAAAAAAAAAAUGCUCGGUAUUUUUAAGACAGUUAAAAAUAUACUGAGUUAAAAAAAAAAAAAUAACCAGUAAUCUAUCAGAAUCUGACAACACCCUACAAUACCAAAGCUGUGAUUCAACUGGCUCUUCCCCUUUACACUGUCAGUGUUUCUAGGCGAUACCCAUACCCCACUUGGUCCGUUUUUGGCUAUCCUGGCUAUGACCCGAAAUGGUCACAUCCUCGUCCCUUGUUCAGUGAAUUAAAUUAGAAUAAAAUAGGCAUUUUUCAGUUGUACUUCAUCUUGGUUUUGUAAUGGAGAUUAUUAUUCUAUUUCUUUAAAGUGUUAUAUAAGCAAAACUAAUGCUAUGUAAAUGUCUUGUAAACUAUAAAGGAACAUAAACAUUAUUGAUAUCUGAAAGUAUGAACUGAAGGUUUUAGUUAUUGUGUGUAUAUUUUCAAGAUUAUAUUAGGCAAAAAAAAGAUUGUUGUGUUGUUUUGCACUUAAAUGGAAAAAAUCUAGAUCAUCGGUCGGUCAGUCAUUCAAUCGGAUUUUUUUUUUCCUGAAAUUGGAUAGGCCUCAAACUGCAGUCCCUAUUAGGAAGGCUUCGUAGUCACCACAAUAGAAGGCAAGCUUUCCAAACAAAAUGUGUUCAAAAGUAAUGACAGAAUAAAUACUAGCACAAGUAUAUGUAUAAUUGAAAUGAACGAAAAUAAAUCAGUUUGAUGAAAAAAAA